AUUGAACGCUGGCGGCAGGCCUAACACAUGCAAGUCGAACGAGUGGCGGACGGGUGAGUAAUAUCUGGGAAACUUCCCGAUGGAGGUGGAUAACUACUGGAAACGGUAGCUAAUACCGCAUACCAUCGGAUGUGCCCAGAUGGGAUGAGCUUGUAGGUGAGGUAACGGCUAACCUAGUCGACGAUCCCUAGCUGUUCUGAGAGGCUGACCAGCCACACUGGAACUGAGACACGGUCCAGACUCCUACGGGAGGCAGCAGUGGGGAAUAUUGCACAAUGGGCGCAAGCCUGAUGCAGCCAUGCCGCGUGUAUGAAGAAGGCCUUCGGGUUGUAAAGUACUUUCAGCGGGGAGGCGUUACCCGCAGAAGAAGCACCGGCUAACUCCGUGCCAGCAGCCGCGGUAAUAC
rnacentral:rRNA from 1 species